GUCAGGACAUUAUUCUCUUCCAGGAAAGGAGAAAACAUUCAACGAGGUCUAGAAGAUACGUAUCCCAAACGGAGGAAUCAAGAACACAUUCAAUAAUGUGUAGAAGGUACAGAUCCCAAAAGGAAGGAGACUUUGGAUUUUGAGAGGUGUUUGUGGAUUGGAGAUGAAGAAAGAGCUUUGGGAUGUAAGGAGAAAGGAUGAAGACACUUCAGAGGGAGAGAAGUUAGGAGGAAGAGCACUAUGGAGAAAGAAAAGAGGGAGAACGAGAAAAAUAAAGAAGGAAAAAGAGAGAGAACAUACACCUGGCAGUAGGUAAUGAAUUCUUAUAACCAGGCCUAGGUUAAGUCUCUUCUCCGGUUCAUGAAAGAAUAAGUAGAAAGGACAAUAGAGUC